rnacentral:rRNA from 1 species
GACGAACGCUGGCGGCGUGCUUAACACAUGCAAGUCGAACGCAGUGGCGAACGGGUGAGUAAUACGUGGGUAACCUUCCCUCCUUUUUGGGAUAAGCCUUGGAAACGGGGUCUAAUACCUAAUACAGGUGGCUGGGCCCGCGGCCUAUCGGCUGGUUGGUGGGGUGCUGGCCUACCAAGGCGGUGACGGGUAGCCGGCCGGAGAGGGUGACCGGACCCAAUGGAAGGGAGAUACGGCCCAGAGAGCCACGAGAGGGAGAAGUGGGGGAUAGUGCGAAAUGGGGGAAAGCCUAAUGCGGCGACGCGGAGUGGGGGAUGAAGUCUUUCGGGUUGUAAACCUCUGACGCUAUCGAACGGGUAGGUAGAGAAGAAGCGCCGGCUAACUACGUGCCAGCAGCCGCGGUAAUAC